rnacentral:rRNA from 1 species
AACGAACGCUGGCGGCAGGCUUAACACAUGCAAGUCGAACGCAUCCUUCGGGGUGAGUGGCAGACGGGUGAGUAACGCGUGGGAACGUGCCCUUCAGUUCGGGAUAACCCAGGGAAACUUGGGCUAAAACCGGAUACGUGCGAGAGCAGAAAGAUUUAUCGCUGAAGGAUCGGCCCGCGUCUGAUUAGCUGGUUGGUGGGGUAAUGGCCCACCAAGGCGACGAUCAGUAGCUGGUCUGAGAGGAUGAUCAGCCACAUUGGGACUGAGACACGGCCCAAACUCCUACGGGAGGCAGCAGUGGGGAAUAUUGGACAAUGGGCGCAAGCCUGAUCCAGCCAUGCCGCGUGAGUGAUGAAGGCCUUAGGGUUGUAAAGCUCUUUCGUCCGGGACGAUAAUGACGGUACCGGAAGAAGAAGCCCCGGCUAACUUCGUGCCAGCCGCCGCUGUAACAC